rnacentral:rRNA from 2 species
CCUGAGAAACCUAAAAGUUCGAAAAGAGAGAUUCAACGUCAGUAUGUAUUGUAUUCACGUGAGUAGUGAUGUGCGCACAUUUUCAUGUUAUUUUAUUGCAAUACUAUUGCCGGCGUGCACUUCUCUCUUAGUAGGACGUCCCGACCCGUUGAGUCUUGGCCUACGGCUUAGACUUUAAUAUUUUACGAUAUUAAAGACCUCUGAUAUUAAAGACCUCUGAUGUAUUCCUGGCUAAAGUACUCGACGGGGUGUUGAGCCGCAUUUUUUAAAUGCGUCCAUGCGUCCGGCCUGUCGCAAGUAAUUGAUAUACCGUAUUACUAUAGACUUAGUGCUAUGUAUAUGGACUGUGCUUUAGGACUGGCUUAUUCAUCUGUCAGGGACGCUUAGGCUUUGGGUACUCUCAGGACCCGUCUUGAAACACGGACCAAGGAGUCUAACAUGUACGCGAGUCAUUGGGUAUAUAUUUUCCAAACCUAAAGGCGUAAUGAAAGUAAAGGUUGAA